rnacentral:rRNA from 1 species
AGGGAAUCUUCCACAAUGGACGCAAGUCCGAUGGAGCAACGCCGCGUGAGUGAAGAAGGUCUUCGGAUCGUAAAGCUCUGUUGUUGGUGAAGAAGGAUAGAGGCAGUAACUGGUCUUUAUUUGACGGUAAUCAACCAGAAAGUCACGGCUAACUACGUGCCAGCAGCCGCGGUAAUACGUAGGUGGCAAGCGUUGUCCGGAUUUAUUGGGCGUAAAGCGAGCGCAGGCGGAAUGAUAAGUCUGAUGUGAAAGCCCACGGCUCAACCGUGGAACUGCAUCGGAAACUGUCAUUCUUGAGUGCAGAAGAGGAGAGUGGAACUCCAUGUGUAGCGGUGGAAUGCGUAGAUAUAUGGAAGAACACCAGUGGCGAAGGCGGCUCUCUGGUCUGCAACUGACGCUGAGGCUCGAAAGCAUGGGUAGCGAACAGGAUUAGAUACCCUGGUAGUCCAUGCCGUAAACGAUGAGCGCUAGGUGUUGGGGACUUUCCGGUCCUCAGUGCCGCAGCAAACGCAUUAAGCGCUCCGCCUGGGGAGUACGACCG